rnacentral:piRNA from 1 species
UGGGCAGUCAGUAGUGGUGUGGAGUG